GAAAUGCGAUAAGUAAUGUGAAUUGCAGAAUUCAGUGAAUCAUCGAAUCUUUGAACGCACCUUGCGCUCCUUGGUAUUCCUUGGAGCAUGCCUGUUUGAGUAUCAUGAAAUCUUCAAAGUAAAUCUUUUGUUAACUCAAUUGGUUUCUACUUUGGUAUUGGAGGUCUUUGCAGCUUCACACCUGCUCCACUUUGUUCAUUAGCUGGAUCUCAGUGUUAUGCUUGGUUCCACUCGGCGUGAUAAGUUAUCUAUCGCUGAGGACACUGUAAAAGGUGGCCAAGGUAAAUGCGGAUGAACCGCUUCUAAUAGUCCAUUGACUUGGACAAUACUUUUAUGAUCUGAUCUCAAAUCAGGUAGGACUACCCGCUGAACUUAAGC
rnacentral:misc_RNA from 1 species